AGGGAGGCUGUACGUUCUGACAGCCCUGAAAAUGUCUGCUGGUCACCAGACAUGCUAGCUGCAUAUAUUGCCCUUACAGUUGUUAUUGUGCAAGCCCAGGCUUUAGGACUACCUGUGUAUUGUAAACCAUUUCAUUUGUAUGCUUGGGACAAUUGUAAAACCAUGGCCGCAGUCUGUGCACAAGAGCAAGGAGGCGGUAUGCGUCCCAUAGCAUUCUUUUCCAAAGUAGUUCAAGCUCCGGUACAGGGUAUGCCGGCGUGUCUCAGAGCAUUGAUAGCAUGUGCAAUGGCUGUUGAAACUGCUACUACUAUCACACUAGGGCAUCCUACAAUACUUCAUGCCAGUCACCAGGUCACUCAGCUGACAAAUCUCACCACACAACACAUGACAGCCCAGCGCUUAAGUGGUUAUGAGAUUCUUUUUUAAAUACCCAGAAUCUGUCUUUUGGAUUAAACAAGGUUUAGAGAAAGAUCAAAAUGAUCUGUUCUCUAAAGAGGGGAGAAUAGGCAUACUUGAAGAAUAGGCAUACUUGAAGCAAGCUGAUUUAUUUUCAUCAGUCAGGCACAUAGCAAGCACCAUUCAAUUCUUCAUGAAUUCAUUUUAUAUUAGGAAUCUCAGGCAGCAUGUACAGUCUUUUGUAAGAUUCGUGUGAACGCUGCUCUUUUUACACACUUACAGAUUGAUUUUAUUCAUGUAUCCAAAAUUGGUAAGAAACAGCAAUACUUACUGGUCAUAGUUGAUCAGUUUAGUAGAUGGCAUGAGGCCUUUGUGACAUCUAGGGAAGAUGCUAGUGAAGAUUAUUGUUACUGAAAUUAUUCCCAGGUAUGGCUGCCCUCUGCAGAUUGGCUCUGAUAAUGGCCCGGUUUUUGCAAGUAGGGUUGCCCAGGAACUUGCUAAAUUCUUGCAAGUUACCUGGCAGUUUCAUAUACCCUAUCAUCCACAGAAUACAGGGGUAGUUGAAAGGAUGAAUAGGACUAUUAAGGAAAAGCCCAGAAUUUACCCAGGAACAUGGGUAAAUUGGACUAGAUAUCUACCAGCUAUUUUAGCUGAGAUAAGAGUGAUUCCUCACAAGGUGACUAAAUUAUCUCCAUUUGAGAUUUUGAUGGGAUGACCUUUUCCCACACCCUGGGCCAGGGAACUGCUUGUUAUAAUGUCUGGGGAUUUACAGCUAAUACAAGAACAAUAUGUACAGGAGUUGUUGAUAAAACUGAAUGGUAUGUAUGACAAUGUUUCUUCGCAGUUUUCCCUUACCUUCACAGGAACCUACUCAUCCAUACCAGCCCGGUGACAAGGUGUAUAUCCGUCAGUUGAACAGGACCAAGAAAGGAGGAUACCCUUUUGGACCACCUGCUACUGUGAUUGCUGUAACCAGAACCGCUGUCCUCACAGAUUCCCACGACAUCUGGAUUCACGCAUCCCGAGUGAAGCUGUGUCCAAAGAGGGGAACCAAGGAAGACAACACCACUCCUCGCUCGGAAACAGAAGAAUUUCUCCUCAGCGAAGCAUCAUGGCUUUUACACCAUAUUGUAGAUUGAGAGGAUCAUACAUACCUGAGACCAAGAUUAUGUUGUGUGCUAUGCUUUCUGGAGUUGUUAUACUCCCUCUGAUAUUGUUCCUUGAAUGCCAUUAUGAGUACAAGUCAAUGGCAAGUUCUGGAAAAAGACUCUGACAUGAUGAACAAUUCUUCAAUACCCCCAGCCCAAUUAGGCCUUAGCCCCUCAUCUAGCAUUCGUCACACACGCCCCCUCAAGAACCUUUCUCCACCAACUUUCUAUCAGCAUGCAAUAUGCAAUCAUUCAUUCAAUGAACGCAUUUGGAUGAAUUGGACAAAUAGUAACCCUUAUAAGUACCAGUUACCCAUAUGAAAUGUGUCUACAGCUAAUGAAACCGAUGCAUUAUGUUUGUUUAAAGGUUCACAGAAAAUUGUUAGAUCUUAUAAUGCAGAAAUGUGCACAGUUAAGGUUGCAUAUCAAUGUAAACAGACAGGCCUUAUUACUUUUAAUAAUGAUUAUAUAACUGGUAUCAUUAAUUGGAAAAGGGGACAAAUGUUAGUCAUUAUGAACGACACUGCAAUUGAGAACUAUACACUACCUUAUAUUUUUACACCUUACUGUCCUUUAUCCUCUACCAUAGAACCAAAAGUCAAACACGACACAGACACACCUAUUCCGUCCACAUGUG